UAAUGCCUACGGGGCGCAGCAGUGGGGAAUAUUGCACAAUGGGGGAAACCCUGAUGCAGCGACGCCGCGUGAGUGAAGAAGUAUUUCGGUACGUAAAGCUCUAUCAGCAGGGAAGAAAAUGACGGUACCUGACCAAGAAGCCCCGGCUAACUACGUGCCAGCAGCCGCGGUAAUACGUAGGGGGCAAGCGUUAUCCGGAUUUACUGGGUGUAAAGGGAGCGUAGACGGCAGCGCAAGUCUUGAGUGAAAUGCCGGGGCCCAACCCCGGAACUGCUUUGGAAACUGUGCAGCUGG
rnacentral:rRNA from 1 species